GGUGAACUGGACUUCGUGGAUAGUGUGGAAGGGACUUUGGGAGAGACCUGUGCCCAUGAUAAAAGGGAAGAUGAAGGUGUUCCUUUGAGUUUGCAUGUGUGGGGCCUUUUUGGCAUGGUUGACGUGUCUGUGCUCCUUCCUGUGACUUGACAUCAAAAUUAGCCUUGCAGCUUCAGGGCUGCUGAUUCUGAUUAUGCUGUGCAAAGGGUGUUCGUUCCACGGUCACACUGUCUCCAUGAGGCAGCAACGUCUAGGAGUGUUAUCCCCAUUGAGGGGGCAGAGAAACCAAGGAAGGAGGAGGGCAGGUGCUGGCCCAAGUCACACACAGAUGAAGGCACACAUGGUCACGCACACCUGGGAAAGCUUAGCAGCACUCCUGGCUCUCCUCAGGAGUUCAUAGAACUCUGCGCUGUGUGGAGCACUGAGUUCAGAAGGGUUUGCUGUGUGAUGCUCGAAUCAGGAGGCUCUGAUGGACUCUUCCCUUCUCUGUCUCUCCAGGGUCUGACUGAGGCACAUUUAUGGGACUCUGGUGAGGAAGACUCCGGUUUGCGGAACACCUCCAAUGGCCACUGCUUAAAUUGAACAAAUGAUGCAUCACAAAACUACAACAGGACUCUUCAAAUUCACGGUCGGUGCAAUCUGUAUGUAAUUGUAUUGUAACAGUUGUCCAGCAGAUGGCAGUAAAGUAUCAUGAAACAGAGUUGCCUGGUGACCUGUGCUGCACCUUUGUGAGUUAGCGGCGACCAGGCUUCACACACUGGACUUACUGGAGUCACUACUAAGCCAAGGCCACAGCAGAAAGACCACUGUGUUUUGCAUGACCUAGGGGCUCCAUGCUGGCCUGGCUGCACCAGAGCCCUUUCAAAACACGCGGUUUAGUUCAGGGCUCACAUUGGCCAUUGCCUGGUUUUGUUUGGCCAGCAAGGAAAAUGUGCAAAGCCCUGGAUUGCUCCUUUGGGACUUCAUCAGCUGCAAACCCUCACAGUAUUUUUGUGUGUUUGGAAGUAAGAAGAGAGCAAGCGAAGGCCGAGACCUAAUGGGAAGACCUGGCGGCUGGGAGAAGGGCUCCUGGCCAGGAUCCGUGAGUCGGCUUCUUGAAGUGAAAGACAGAACUCUCUGCUCUUCAGGUUCUAUCAGUGCAAAGAGGGCCCACUAAGACCCACUCUGCAGGGCUGUUGAGGAAAACCCCAUCUGACAGGCACCCGACAAAGCUCCUCACACUCCGUAAAUGCCACCCAUCAUGAAUGUGGCUAUGAUUAAAUCGUGAUGAGGACUGUGACCCACAAGACUGGAAAACCACUUUGGCACCUUGAUGCAGAUGUUUUCAAGGACUGGGUUAGAGAAUACGUACCAUCAUUCUACUUUUAGCUGUUUUGUUUCAUUAAAACCUUUUUGGUUUAGCAUGACAACCAUAACAAGUACAAUAUUUUGGCCAAUUUCAUUUAAUUUGGCACACAGAAUGGAAGAAAUACUAAGAUAUUAUUUUCUACAUGACUGUGUAGCUGGGAUGAUUGGAACUGAAUCAUUUAUUGCGCAUUUGAAUGGUUAAUUUUAUUAUGCUCACAUUGUGUACAUAUUCUGUGGCUUAUAUAUAAUCAAUAAAUAUUCUAUGACUUAUUCCUCUUCAGAAACAUGUGGAAAGAUGAAUAAAAAACAACCACAGCAUGACAGGGUUAGGGAAUUCUAGAAAUGGAAAAGAUGUUAAAAGUGGGUUUAUAGUAAAAUCCAACAUCUAGAGGAAGGAUUUAAAGUCUAAGCAGAAACCCUUUCUGGCGGUCUGCAGAAGUCUCCCAUCUUGCUAAAGUGUCACAUUUGGCACAUAUUCCUGGAAAACGUUUUAGUGUUUUUCAAUUAAAUUCCUUACUGCUGUCCCUCUUGCCAA
rnacentral:antisense_RNA from 1 species